CUAUGAUGGUGUUUCAGAUGCCUACAUGAUGUAUCCAGGUUAUCAAAAUGCAUACAAUCAAAACCAGUACAUGUACAGCGGAGAAAACGCUGCGGUUUACACUGACCCUCAGAUGGCUGUUAACCAGCCAUUUAUGUACACGGUGGAGGACGUCAUGGAUCCAACAGAACCCCCAGAAAUGUACGGUAAUGAAUAUGUUCAAAUACCAACCCAGGGAAUAUUGACUGAGGAUUCAUUCAGAUUUCCAAGACCACAAGUACGACUGUUUGGAAAAGAAAAACUUGAAAUUUCAAGUCCAGUUUCUCAGAUUCCCAGGAGUGAUCUUGAGAUGAUUCAAGACCAAUAUGAACACCAGCCAUUUGUUUCACCUAUGAGCUUUCCUCUAUAUACGCCACAACAACCAGAAGCUGUACAAAGGUCAUUAUCUCCAACCCCUAUAUUAAUUCAGCAAGGACCAGCAACAAUUAUACCACCUAGUAGUCCCAUUUUAACCCGAUCACUCCAAAUACCAUCCUCGCCUGUUCUUCAAGCAAGACCUUUUUCGUCUCCAAUACCAGUGUCACCUGUCCUAAGUAGACAUUCUUUUGGACCUGUUGGACCCAUGCCACUCUCAACACCAGCAUCUCCAGUUCUGUCCGCAAGGAGAUUCGAUCCAACUAUGGGUGAUCCAGUCUCUCCCCAUUUAGUCUAUCCAGAUCCCAUGUUUCAGAGAUUUGAUUUUCCACAUGAAAAUAUCCAACCAAUAACAAUGAGACAAUUUAACCAUCUCCCCUCACCACAGCUCUCCUUAAGACAAAGCAAUUUUUCAACUCGAAGCAGUCCUAUACCUCGCCAAAGAUCUGAUAUGUAUGAGGAAAUGAGUCCGAGGUUCUCACCAAGGCAGUCUAGAAUGUUUGGCCCACCUUCAUACAAUAAUAAUGCACAAAGGCAGUUCUCUCCUAUCCAAAGGAGAAAAUUUAGUCCCCCUUCUUCUCCACAACCAUCCAGAAGAGCACCAUCACCAAUAG
ensembl:lncRNA